rnacentral:lncRNA from 1 species
UCAGGAUCAAGUUUCAUACAUACGAUAAUUUCAAUAAAUAUCAAAUACAAUAUUAAAGCAUAAAGAGAGAGAGUUACAUAGAUUACGUAAUCAGGAAUGAGAUAAAAAUCUCUAGUAUAGUCAAGGAUCACCAACAACUCCAUAGGUAGCUAACUGGGGGACUCGCCUAGAACUCCUCCAAAAACUCCGGUAGUAUCCUCAAAGUUCUCUGGAUCUGAGCAGCAAUCUGGUUGUUGUAGAUGCAACAUAUAAAAUACAAGUGUGAGCACAUGCCAUACUCAGCAAGAGAGAAAAUAUAUAACAUGCGAGGUUUUAUAUGGUGGAAGGCUAGGUUAACUGCGAUUAGCACUUUUAGUUGGUCAAGUUUUAUUCAAUAGCUAAUUACUAGCAAAUGUAAGUUUAUACCAUCCCACAAUUAAUAUAGAGCAUUGAUAUACCGAAAUCAUAUAACAAAUAACACAAGUUGUUUCAUCUUCAAGUGAAUUAAUCAUGUGAGAGUCCAGACCGCUCUUGACCGUGAGCACGGCUAAUAUAUCAGUUUUACACUUUGCAUAUGUUGUACACUUUCACCACAAGUCGCGUAAAAGUUCAGAAGAACUUUGGAUCCAACCAUGCUGUGCAAAAGUAGGCACUUAUCACACUACCGAGGUGUGAUUGUAUAGGGACGCUACAAGCCUUUACAAAGAUUCCCUAAGUGAUAACCCGCUAAGGUUUCCUAAUAAGGGGAUGAACCUUCCCCCAAGUGGUGCGAACAUCCCUUGGCUGGACAAGCCAUCGCACAACCUAUGAGCCCCUCUUGCCCUUUUGGUAAGACUAUCACAAACUAGAGUCUCUAAUUAAUUAGCUAAGAUUAGAACCAUGUAGUUCUUAUGGUUGUACUGUUUUCCUGGGUGGUCGCUCCAUGUUCCGAUUAACAGAUAUGGUCUUGUAAUUAAAUCAACAUAGAGGAACAGAAAGUGAAUAAAUAAAUUUAUCCAUGUUGUUUAGUUACCAACCUAGUUGAGCAAACUAAGCAUCAUCUACCAUCAAGUUUAAUUAAACAACCCGGCUGCAAGGUAUGAUCAAAAGAAACUAGGCAUCGUCCUCAAGCGAUAAAUAAAUAUUGUGAAUCAAUUACAUGUCAUUUAGGUGUAAACGGGAACGAUCAAGGAUACUUGCCUUCCUCGAAACCCUGCUACUGCCUAGAGUCUUCAGUCUUCUACUUGUUCAGAUUCCUCGAACUAUGCUCCUUCUACACGCGUCACACGAGCACAUACAAGCAAAUAAAUGCAUAAAUGAGAAAACAGUACACUAAUCAAUAUAAACAGAAGAAAACAAGCUUACAAAACUAUUCUACGCGUUGAAACGAACUCGUGGACAUAAAUAACGCUAAAAACGGAGCUAUGAUGCAAAAGAUACGCUUAAAACAACCUACAGGGGUCUAUUGAGAAAACUAGACUUUCAGGGAUCUAACUGCAAGAAACUGAGGGCCUAAACAUAAUUAUGCGAAUAAACCAAAGGUUUAAUGCGCAAAAGAGCAGCUCUGGACUGCGGAUGCUAUUUUGCUGAAGUCUAGGGUCCUGCGCGAAAGAAAAUAGAACUUAGUUGGAAGGAUUCUUGAACUACGGUGGACCGCGGAGCAAAAUGCGGGAAAUGCAGGGGUUCUUAUGCAAAAGUGGCAUGACUGACUGGUAUUCACCCGGUUUGACUCGAUCCUGGCCAGAUUGGAGCGCUGCGCGGCGGCGGAGCAGGGGCGAACGGCGGCGCUUCGAUUGUGAGCUCACCGGCGAUGCUCGAAAACGAGCUUCCGGUCAUGGUUUCGCAUGCGGAUUCCUCUAGGGGGUAGAGGAGGGUGCGGCGAACCGGUUUAAAGUGUCGACGGUUGGAUUUUUGUGGCGGUGGUGGCGGAGCGAAGCCCGGUGGAAGACGGCGGCUCUGACGAGGGUGGGCAUGCGGAAGAAGAGCACGGGGCGCAUAGGAACUACUCCGGCGGCUUCGUCGACUCCUAGCGGCACUUCGGGCGAUGCUGCUGGCGACGAAGAGGCGUCGGCGGAGGAGAUCAGCACGAUGGUGGCACACGGAAGCUUGUGAGAGGCGGUGCUAUUCCAGGAAAGUGGAGGCUAGGGCUUGCGAAGGGAAAAAAAAGUGGCAGCAGCGGCGCCUUUUAAAGGGAGCCUCGGUGUGC